CUGAGCGGUGCGCGGAUCCUGGGCUUAAGGGUGCGUAGGCGGAUGUGCAAGUGCCUUGUGAAAUCCCCGGGCUCAACCCGGGAACUGCUUGGUAGACUGCAUGUCUAGAGGUCGGUAGGGGUUGCUGGAACAGUUGGUGGAGCGGUGAAAUGCGUAGAUAUCAACUGGAACGCCAAAGGCGAAGGCAAGCAACUGGGCCGAUUCUGACGCUGAGGCACGAAAGCGUGGGGAGCAAACGGGAUUAGAUACCCCGGUAGUCCACGCCCUAAACGAUGUACACUAGAUCGUGGAGGCUCUGACGCCGUCAUGGUCGAAGAAAAAUUAUUUAGUGUACCGCCUGGGGAGUACGGUCGCAAGAUUAAAACUCAAAGAAAUUGACGGGGGCUCACACAAGCGGUGGAGCAUGUGGCUUAAUUCGAAGCAACGCGAAGAACCUUAUCCAAGGCUUGACAUGCACGGAUUAGUUCGGUGAAAGUCGGAUGACACUCGCAAGAGUGGAACGUGCACAGGUGCUGCAUGGCUGUCGUCAGC
rnacentral:rRNA from 1 species